rnacentral:lncRNA from 1 species
AUAACUGAAUUCACGAACUUCUGUUAGUUUCAAUGAAACAUAUAUUUCCAUCUAAUUGAAAAUAUAAUUGCUGUAAGUUCUGCUUUAUCUAACCGACUUAUUACAUUUUUAAAAAUGAUGGGAAUAUAGCAAAUACAAUUAAACAGAGAUAUGAAUAUAGAAAUAGAACAAGCAAAGAAGAGGAGGUGACUUGGUGAGAUGAUGAAUACAUGGGUUCGAGGUAGGGCUACCCAAGUGGGUUUUGUUUUGUUUCUUUUCUUUAUACACUUCUUCGUGUCUUGCUUUUCUUUUUGUCCUUUCGUUUACUUUAUUAGCCCACCCACUUUUUCACUUCUUAUCGGUUAAGGGACAAAUCGAUGGUUAGGAUGAGAGUGAAGAUUUGGUGAACAUAAGGUUGCGGUUGAAUUGUUGCUAAGCUUGAGAGGAUACUUCAUAAUCUUACUAGUUUGGUUGUUGAAACAACAUAACUAAAUCAGAGGAAGACAACAACUUAUACAAUAAGAGGAUUGAUAUCUACUUUGGUAAGAUGGUGAUCCUCUCAUUCAUAUACUGUAUUGUAUAUCUGAAUUUUUGGGGCAUUUUGUGGCCGUUCUGGAAGAGCAGCACACACUGUAACUUGUCAUGCCUCUCGAUAUAUGACAACUUCUUGUUAUUAAACGAUAUUAUACCUUUUUAAAUUGCCCGGUCAAUAUCGAAUUUCCAGUCCCGAAUGUUUACCCAUUCUUUCUUAGAUUUUCUUUUAAUUUCUUGGGAGAUCAGCAUGUCAUGGGUUCGCUAGUCAUUUCGUAAAGAGGUGGGC